GGAAAUCGCACUUUAAUGUAACUUGAAGAUAUUUUACAUUACACCGUAAUUUAUGUAAAAUACCAGAACAUCAGACGUCUGUGGUAAGAAGGAAUUUCUACUUGAGAUACAUCAUGAAUAUUAAUAAUCUUUUAAAGACGAAAGGAAGGUGUAAUAAAUAAUUGAUAUAAACAUGUU
rnacentral:lncRNA from 1 species